AGCGUAGGCGGUCUGUUAAGUCCGAUGUUAAAGCCCGGGGCUCAACCCCGGCACGGCGUUGGAUACUGGCAGGCUUGACGGCUGGAGAGGCGAGUGGAAUUACCAGUGUAGCGGUGGAAUGCGUAGAUACUGGUAGGAACACCUAUGGCGAAGGCAGCUCGCUGGACAGCACGUGACGCUGAGGCGCGAAAGUGUGGGGAGCAAACC
rnacentral:rRNA from 1 species